CAAGACUGCAAGAGGCGACGGGAGGAAAAGGCAAUGCAGGAUGAAGAGGUUCCACAAAAGAAGCAGGCCAUAAUUUGAAUGCGUCAUGAGUGAGCGCUGCUGGGGGGGAACUGUUACAAUCUGUAUUAGGUUCACUAAUGCCUCAAAAUGUAAUAGUUGUCAGAAUCUGUCUGUGUUUUAUUUUGUCCUGUCCCUGUCUCUGUGUUCAAUAAAAUUGAAAGUCCUGAAUUAAA